GACACGGUCUCUCUUUGGAAGCAGGCUGAGAUGAGGCAAGGAGAGAAAAGCAGAGUUCCACCUCUGCUCCCACCUCUCAGCAAGUGAAAGCACAUCAGACUUCAGCAGCUCUUAAUCAGAAUAAUGCAACUGUAAACCUCUUCUGUGAUUUUCAUGUUAAGGAAACCUAUGACAGGGUGCACUCGCCCCACACCGGACUGAGAGGGGAACCCUACAUUGUAGGCUGAGGAAGCCACGCCCCCUCAACUCUACUGGGCAUGCUCCAAAUGCACCAGUAUAAAAAGAAGCAGCUCCGCUCAGUUACUGCUGGAGAGUAAGAAUGCAUGCUACAGGCUCCAGCCACGGAUCAGCCAAAGCCAGAGGCCAUGGGAGCUGGAGAUGCUGCAACCCAGGCAGAUGCCAAACUACCCACAGAGGCCCUGAAAAGUACAGAGUUGCCGGGGACAGCACAGCCCAGGGAACCCAGAGACAGCCAAGAUGUCCAGACCGAAGCAGCAAGAAACAUGAUACAACAGAGUUUCCAUUGGUGUCAGAGUUGCAGGAUGGUGCUGAACUUGAUCCACAUGCGAAUAUAGAAUGAAUAUGUACCAAGCAAGUGUUACUGCUACAAUCUGAAAGCAACAGAAGAGGCUAGAUUUAGGGAAGACCAAGAAAUGAAGGUGAGAAGACUGAGGACGUCCUAUAGAAGGUGAACAGAGAAAUGGGGGAGAUCUGAUGCCACCUA